rnacentral:rRNA from 1 species
GAUGAACGCUGGCGGCGUGCCUAAUACAUGCAAGUCGAGCGAACUGUUGGGAGCUUGCUCCCAAAAGGUAGGCGCCGGCGGGGUGGUAAAACGGGGGGAACCUUCCUUUAAAGCUGGGAUAAACUCGGGGAAACGGAGCUAAAAACGGAAAACAUUGUAGACUACAUUGCCGUCAAGCAAAAAGAGGCUUUUAGCUACUACUUACCAAUUGACCCGCGGCGCAUUAGCUAUUUGGUGAGGUAAAGGCUCACCAAGGCCAGGAUGCGUAGCCGACCUGAGAGGGUGAUCGGCCACACUGGGACUGAGACACGGCCCAGACUCCUACGGGAGGCACCAGUAGGGAAUCUUCCGCAUUGGACGAAAGUCUAACGGAGCAACGCCGCGUGAGUGAUGAAGGUUUUCGGAUCUUAAAACUCUUUUGUCAGGGAAGAACAAUUACCGGAGUAACUGCCGGUACCUUGACGGUACCUGACCAGAAAGCCACGGCUAACUACGUG